rnacentral:rRNA from 1 species
UGAGACACGGACCAAACUCCUACGGGAGGCAGCAGUGAGGAAUAUUGGUCAAUGGACGCAAGUCUGAACCAGCCAUGCCGCGUGCAGGAAGACGGCUCUAUGAGUUGUAAACUGCUUUUGUACUAGGGUAAACGCUUCUACGUGUAGGAGCCUGAAAGUAUAGUACGAAUAAGGAUCGGCUAACUCCGUGCCAGCAGCCGCGGUAAUACGGAGGAUCCAAGCGUUAUCCGGAUUUAUUGGGUUUAAAGGGUGCGUAGGCGGUUUGAUAAGUUAGAGGUGAAAUACCGGGGCUCAACUCCGGAACUGCCUCUAAUACUGUUGAACUAGAGAGUAGUUGCGGUAGGCGGAAUGUAUGGUGUAGCGGUGAAAUGCUUAGAGAUCAUACAGAACACCGAUUGCGAAGGCAGCUUACCAAACUAUAUCUGACGUUGAGGCACGAAAGCGUGGGGAGCAAACAGGAUUAGAUACCCUGGUAGUCCACGCAGUAAACGAUGAUAACUCGUUGUCGGCGAUACACAGUCGGUGACUAAGCGAAAGCGAUAAGUUAUCCACCUGGGGAGUACGUUCGCAAGAAUGAAACUCAAAGGAAUUGACGGGGGCCCGCACAAGCGGAGGAACAUGUGGUUUAAUUCGAUGAUACGCGAGGAACCUUACCCGGGCUUGAAAGUUAGUGACGAUUCUGGAAACAGGAUUUCCCUUCGGGGCACGAAACUAGGUGCUGCAUGGUUGUCGUCAGCUCGUGCCGUGAGGUGUCGGGUUAAGUCCCAUAACGAGCGCAACCCCUACCGUUAGUUGCCAUCAGGUCAAGCUGGGCACUCUGGCGGGACUGCCGGUGUAAGCCGAGAGGAAGGUGGGGAUGACGUCAAAUCAGCACGGCCCUUACGUCCGGGGCUACACACGUGUUACAAUGGUAGGUACAGAGGGCCGCUACCCCGUGAGGGGAUGCCAAUCUCGAAAGCCUAUCUCAGUUCGGAUCGGAGGCUGAAACCCGCCUCCGUGAAGUUGGAUUCGCUAGUAAUCGCGCAUCAGCCAUGGCGCGGUGAAUACGUUCCCGGGCCUUGUACACACCGCCCGUCAAGCCAUGGGAGCCGGGGGUACCUGAAGUGCGUAACCGCAAGGAGCGCCCUAGGGUAAAACUGGUGACUGGGGCUAAGUCGUAACAAGGUAGCCGUACCGGAAGGUGCGGCUG